rnacentral:misc_RNA from 1 species
CAGGAAUGCUCAAAGAUCCGCAGGUGCGUCA